GCACGACUCUCGGCAACGGAUAUCUCGGCCCUCGCCACGAUGAAGAACGUAGCGAAAUGCGAUACCUAGUGUGAAUUGCAGAAUCCCGUGAAUCAUCGAGUCUUUGAACGCAAGUUGCGCCCGAGGCUUCGGCCAAGGGCACGUCUGCCUGGGUGUCGUAU
rnacentral:rRNA from 1 species